GGGAGGGUGUGACUAGUGACAGAGUGAGGGAGGGAAGGGGUGACUAGUGAGAGUGAGGGAGGUGGUGAUUAGUGACAGAGGGAGGAAUGGGGUGACUAUCACUGUGUCACCCCCUUCCUCACUCUGUCACUAGUCACCCUCUUCCUCCCUCACUCGGUCACUAUUCACCCCCUCUCUCACUCUGUCACCAGUCAUUCCCUCACUCUGUCACCAGUCAUCCCUUCCUUCCC
rnacentral:sRNA from 1 species